rnacentral:rRNA from 1 species
CCUACGGGAGGCAGCAGUGAGGAAUAUUGGUCAAUGGACGAGAGUCUGAACCAGCCAAGUAGCGUGAAGGAUGACUGCCCUAUGGGUUGUAAACUUCUUUUAUAUGGGAAUAAAAUGUUCCACGUGUGGGAUUUUGUAUGUACCAUAUGAAUAAGGAUCGGCUAACUCCGUGCCAGCAGCCGCGGUAAUACGGAGGAUCCGAGCGUUAUCCGGUGUUAUUGGGGUGAAAGGGAGCGUAGAGUGAUUGGUAAGCCCGUAGGGAAAGGUGGCGGCUCAACCGUAAGAUUGCAGUGGAAACUGGAAGUCUUGAGUACAGGAGAGGUGAGCGGAAUUCGUGGUGUAGCGGUGAAAUGCUUAGAUAUCACGAAGAACUCCGGUUGCGAAGGCGGUUCACUGGACUGCAACUGACACUGAGGCUCGAAAGUGUGGGUAUCAAACAGGAUUAGAUACCCUGGUAGUC